UCCGUCUCAAAAAAAAAAAAGAGUUACAAAGUAGAGGUUAUCAGUGGCUGAUAUCAGGCUGGCCUUGUUUGGAUGGGGAAAAGGAACUCCAGAACUGAAAGACAGAGGGACUAGACUGCCUCUUGAGUGUGGAAGGUGGAUCAGAGCCAAGCAGGGAGCUGGGGAACCAGGGCUGGGAGUGGCUCGCCUGGUGGCGCAGACCCAGCUCACUCAAGAUGGAGCUCACACUGGGGAAGCCAGGAGAUUCAGCUCUGCUCCGAAGGCCCUUCCUGUCUGCACGUGGGUAUCACUGCAUGAAGAGGAGUAGAGACCCGAUUGGGCAGAAGCCAUUCCUUGUUCUAUUUUUGAAGCUUUUUGGCUGAAGCCAGUGUUUCAUACGAGGAAAUGAAAGUUGGCUGAUGUAAUUCAGUUUAAAAUAGGUGUCACCUUUGGGGACCUAACCCAGAUUGUAAUUUUAUUUUGCAUGCUGGGUAUUCAGAACUCAGCAAAGAGUGUGUCGUCAGGAUUGCAACUGAGGUUGGGGGGUAAGGGUGGAGACUGGCUCAUUGUUGGCAAAAGCUUCUGUUAGAUUGAUAAACUCUUUCCAGGUAACAGUUGGGACCUCAUUGAUCCCGAUAGAUCUUAGAAGUUCUAGCACAUCUUAAUUUCCUUAAUAAGAAAUUGAUUGAUGAAGAGCAUUGAUGAAGAGUUAGGAGGUCUCCCUUUGUACCUACAUUUUCCCCUUUUUUAGAAUGAGAAGAUGAGAACGACCUCCAGUUCACAUGUACAGGUGUUGUGAGGAUCCAGUAGGGGAGAUACAGUGCCCAGCACCAAGCAGGUGCAAGUGAGCGCAAUCCAAUUUUCCAGCAAGUUACCCCUCAAGGACAGUUGCUUUGACGUGGAAGGCAGAGAGGGAGGAAGAAGGAGGGUUUGCAUGGUUGGCAGAGGUGCCCUGCGCCCUCCCCGUGCAGGCUGUAAACAGUCUCUGCCCACCUGGAAGCCGUGGAAGGUGGGUGGGAAGAUGAGAUCCCAUCUGACUCUGUUCCCUGAGCUGUUUCUGAAGUGAGCUUGUUCAUGACAGCGUGGACGUGCUUGAGCCUAGCUAUCCUUAACUGGUGGUGAUGCACAGGGGACAUGCUUCGGGCAUUCCAUGCAGCCUUGCGGAACUCUCCCGUCAACACCAAGAAUCAAGCUGUGAAGGAGCGAGCCCAGGGCGUGGUGCUGAAAGUGCUCACAAACUUCAAGAGCAGCGAGAUUGAGCAGGCUGUGCAGUCACUGGACAGAAACGGUGUUGACUUGUUAAUGAAGUACAUUUAUAAAGGCUUUGAGAAGCCCACAGAAAAUAGCAGCGCAGUGUUACUCCAGUGGCACGAAAAGGCCUUAGCAGUAGGAGGACUAGGCUCCAUUAUAAGAGUUCUCACAGCAAGAAAGACUGUUUAAAAAAAACAAAAAGACUCAUGUUACUUGAGAAGAAUUCUGGAUGCCCAGGCUGGUGAAGAAGGGAUUGACAAUGGACCAUCUUCCUAGGAACUCCCAAGUAAACUAUUUCAGGACAUGUAUCUGCUGAAAUGUAUUUUAUUUUCAAGGUGGAGGGGAAAAUCGUCUGUUUCCUAAGUCCUGUUUAGGAUCUGAUAGUCUACGCCUUUGUCUCCGAGUACUGCAGAACUGACAUUUUGACGGUUUACCAGAGUGGCGGCUGGUGUUGGUCAGGUGCACCUGUGUGCACUGGGGGAGGGAUGGUUUGAGCAGGUGCAGAUCCAAGGGCUGUGGUAAACGGGAGAGCUUGUGUUUUUGAAGUGGAAAAAAACCCAAGAGUUUGUACAGACAUCCUGUCUUCCCAGAGAAGGUGGACACUCUUGGGCUCAUUGUAAAGUGCCUGCUGCAUCAAUAAAGCUCUUGG
rnacentral:sRNA from 1 species